rnacentral:rRNA from 1 species
GAGAUAAGCUACUAAGAGCACAUGGCGGAUGCCUUGGCGCCAAAGGCCGAAGAAGGACGUGGUUGGCUGCGAUAAGCCGCGUAGAGCCGUCAACAGGCGUAAUAUGCGCGGAUUUCCGAAUGGGGUAACCCCCUCCAAGUCAUGUUGGAGGACCUGCGUGUUGAAUCCAUAGAUGCGCGGGAGGGCACCGGGGGAACUGAAACAUCUCAGUACCCCGAGGAAAAGAGACCAUUCCCCUAGUAGUGGCGAGCGAACGGGGACAAGCCUAAACCACUGUGCCGUAAGGUGCAGUGGGGUUGUAGGGCUCGGCAUAUGAGAGUUACCAAACUGAUUUCUAGCGGAAGGAUUCUGGAAAGUUCCGUCAUAGCGGGUGAUAGCCCCGUACGCGAAAGAAAUCAGACUCUCGUCGAGUUCCUGAGUACCACGGGGCACGCUAAUCCUGUGGGAAUCCGGGGAGUCCACUCUCUAAGGCUAAAUACCUUUGGCGACCGAUAGUGAACAAGUACCGUGAGGGAAAGGUGAAAAGUACGGCUGUGAGCCGAGUGAAAUAGAACCUGAAACCGUGUGCUUACAAGCAGUGGAAGGACUAUGCCAGAUUGUGAUGCGCGCAAGCGCGUCUGCUGGAACGUCUGACCGCGUGCCUCUUGAAGAAUGAGCGAGCGAGUUACUUCUCUGUGGCAAGGAUAAGGGAGUGACACCCGGAUCCGUAGCGAAAGCGAGUCCGAAUAGGGCGAUCAGUCGCAGGGAGUAGACCCGAAACCCGGUGAGCUACUUAUGGGCAGGUUGAAGCGGCGGUAACACGUCGUGGAGGACCGAACUCUUUAGCGUUGCAAAGCUAUGAGAUGACCUGUGAGUAGGUGGUGAAAUGCCUAACGAACCGGGAGAUAGCUGGUUCUCCCCGAAAUAACUCUAGGGUUAGCCUCGUAUGUUUAGUGGCGGAGGUAGAGCACUGGAUUGGCUAGGGGGCGUCAAGCUUACCAACCCAAACCAAACUCCGAAUGCCGCCACUCCAAGUACGGGAGUCGGACUACGUGGGAUGAGCUUCGUAGUCAAAAGGGAAACAGCCCAGAUCGUCGAAUAAGGUCCUCAAGUCUAUGCUAAGUGGGAAACGAUGUGAGAUUGUUCUGACAGCCAGGAGGUUGGCUUAGAAGCAGCCACCCUUUAAAGAGUGCGUAAUAGCUCACUGGUCAAACGGUCUCGCGCGGAAAAUGUAACGGGGCUCAAGCAUAGCACCGAUUUCACGAACUCUGCUGUAAAGCAAAGUGGUAGGGGAGCGUUCUGGGAGCAGCGAAGCACGACGGCGACGACGUGUGGAGCGACCAGAAGUGAGAAUGCUCGCAUAAGUAGCGAAAUUAGAGUGAGAAACUCUAACGCCGGAAGCCUGAGGGUUCAGACGCAAGGGUAAUCCGCGUCUGGUUAGUCGGCCCUAAGCUGAGGACGAAAGUCGUAAGCGAUGGACAUUCGGUUAAUAUUCCGAAACUAUCUGAGUUGAGUGAAGGGGUGACGCAGUAGGAUAGCCCAGCCUGCCUAUCGGACAUGGUAGGUGCUAAGCCGCGAGGAGUUGAGGGGAGUAGGCAAAUCCGCUCCCUGAUCUGAGCGGUGGGCGGCGCCGCAAGGCCACAAGUGGGUGAUUCCAAACUGCCGAGAAAAGCCUCUAAGCGUUGAAACUUGGAUACCCGUACCGCAAACCGACACAGGUGGGCGGCAUGAGAAAUGCAAGGCGAUCGGGAGAACCUCCGUUAAGGAACUCGGCAAAAUGCACCCGUAACUUCGGGAGAAGGGUGGCUUGUCUGCGUCAGAUUAUCUCAAAGCGCGGGCAAGUCGCAGCGAAGCGGCUCGACUGACUGUUUAACAAAAACACAGGUCUCUGCAAACGCGCAAGCGGAUGUAUAGGGGCUGACUCCUGCCCAGUGCCGGAAGGUUAAAGGGAGAGGUUAGGUCCGCCGCAAGGCGAGCCGAAGCUUUGAACUGAAGCCCCGGUGAACGGCGGCCGUAACUAUAAACUCGACCGUUGUAGUUACGAAAAUAAACUUGGCCAUAUGCUGGAAACCCUGAGUAUCUGGCGCUACUGCCGCGCAAGCGGCAGUGACAAAGCGUCCGGUGCAGGCAAUCAGCAGGAAAGGCUCAGUCAGGUGAGCGAACGAGAAUCUUUGGAUGAAACCGGACACUACCUCGCUGGAUUUGUGGAUGGCGAAGGGAGUUUCAACGUCAGCAUCAAGAAGGUCAACGACCGAAAACUUGGAUGGCGCGUUGGGGCUUGCUUCAAUGUCUCGCAACGUGAACGACACAUUCUUGAGCUCUUGCAACGAACUUUGGAAUGUGGUACAAUUCGGCGGAGAUGGGAUGGGGUUCACUACUUUGAGGUCAACAGUUUUCAUGAUCUCAAAGAAAAGGUGAUCCCAUUCUUUCGCAAAUACCCGUUGCGCUCUCCAAACAAGAACGAAACACUUGGAGUAUUCGCUCGGAUUUGCGAAAUGAUGUGUAACGGUAUGCAUCUCACAUCGGAUGGCGUCCGCGAAAUUGUUCAUCUGCGAAAUCAGAUGAACAACGAAAUGAGCAAGCGCCAUCGAGAUGACCAGGAAAUUCUCGAUUCGAUUCAAGACUGAGAAUCCUCAGAGACUAUACGCCAAGUAUGCAAAGAUCGACCGUAACGCCGCUGAUCUCUGCGUAAUGAUAUAGUCCGAUCUCUGUAGCGAUACAGAGGGCUACAAAGCCACACGCGCAAGCGUGCAACAGUACGAACGGUCCUAAGGUAGCGAAAUUCCUUGUCGGGUAAGUUCCGACCCGCACGAAAGGAGUAACAAGUUGAGCGCUGUCUCAACGGGGGACCCGGCGAAAUUGAAAUAGUGGUGAAGAUGCCAUUUACCCGCACUAGGACAAAAAGACCCCGUGGAGCUUUACUGUACCCUGGCAUUGAGUUGAGGUUUGUUGUGCGUAGGAUAUCUGGGAGGCUUUGAAGCUGGGCUUGCGGGCUCGGUGGAGCCAACGUUGAAAUACCAGACUCAAGAAAUUUCGACCCUAACGUCUAGCCGUAAUCCGGCGGACGGACCGUGCCAGGCGGGCAGUUUGACUGGGGCGGUCGCCUCCUAAAAUGUAACGGAGGCGCCCAAAGGUUCCCUCAGGCUGAAUGGAAACCAGCCACUGAGUGCAAAGGCAUAAGGGAGCUUGACUGCGAGACCUACAAGUCGAGCAGAGACGAAAGUCGGGCUUAAUGAUCCCACGACUCUGUGUGGAAAGGUCGUGGCUUAUCGGACAAAAGCUACCCCGGGGAUAACAGGCUGGUGAGAUCCAAGCGUUCACAGCGACGAUCUCGCUCGGCACCUCGAUGUCGGCUCGUCGCAUCCUGGGGCUGAAUUAGGUCCCAAGGGUUGGGCUGUUCGCCCAUUAAAGCGGUACGCGAGCUGGGUUCAGAACGUCGUGAGACAGUUCGGUCUCUAUCCAGUGUGGGCGCAGGGGAUUUGAGGGGAGUUGCCCUUAGUACGAGAGGACCAGGGUGAACGGACCGCUGGUGUGCCAGUUGUCGUGCCAACGGCAUUGCUGGGUAGCCAAGUUCGGCAGUGAUAACCGCUGAAUGCAUCUAAGUGGGAAGCAUGCCCCAAGACUAGAUCCCCCAUCGGUUUACCGAGUAAGCGCGGUCGUAGACUACGACCUUGAUAGGUCGCAGGUGUAAGCGUGGUGACACGUUCAGCUAAGCGAUACUAAUGCGCGAGGGCUUUCUCUC